AAUACAGCUGAUAUUUAAAGACACUAAACAGUUAUUGUCUUUAUCCUGCAAUUAAUUCUGUAUACUAUAUGUGUUUUAAAAGUUACAAAAAAACACAUGUUUUGCAUUUAUUUUCGAUUUGAAAUCCCUUGAGGCCCGUGUAGUAAUACGACACUGUAAUCACACAUUCAGCUGAAGACGGGUUCGCAAAAAAAGAAUCUUGAAUGGUCAACAAUAAUACAUUGCUCAAGGUGAAUAAUUACCUAUUUUAACAUAACAACUAAUUUCAACAGUAAAAACAAAUAACAAAACGUUGUCUUAAUUGAAACAGGGGUGUACGAGUUGUCCUACGCUUCAGACUCGACAUACACAAUCAAAUGCGAUUGCAAUACACAUUCUGAGGUCACGCAGGUUCAUACAAUACUCAAUCCGGUAGUGGGUGGAGCUUUAAAGUGAUAUCUGUAUAGUAUACAGAGACAACAUAGCAAUAUAUCUGUAGGGCUGUAUCUGUAUAGUAGAACACCCAAUUGCAGGAUAAAAUGUGUUAAAGUGUUAAAAGCUGGACCAAUAUCGUAAUCAAUGUUCCGGAAUAUUAACAUCAAAAGUG
rnacentral:lncRNA from 1 species